GGAAGGAUCAUUAACACACACAAGUUGCCAAAAAACUGCAAUUCACAUACAUUUGUCGGGAAAUCGCCCCUUUUGAGCUAUCGCGAAGUUCAACUGCUUGGGCGGUACGAGUUAUAUCAAUACGUCAAGGUCCUCCGUUUGUAAGGUUGUCGCGGACGUUACAGACGGGAUGUACGCAAACUGCAAAUAGUCAUUUUUCAGCAAUGCCUUUUUGCCCCAAACCAUCGAGACCGAAAUGGGAAGACAGCGUCGGAAUCCAAACAUACACAUGAGAUCAAACUGUGAGAAAUGAAUAACUAUGAAAGACAACUCCUUACGGUGGAUGUCUCGGUUCUCGCGAGGAUGAAGAACGCAGCGAAAUGCGAUACGUGGUGCGAAUCGCAGGAACCAGCGAGUCAUCGAGUUUUUGAACGCACAUCGCGCCCCUGGUAUUCCUGGGGGCACGCCUGCCCGAGUGCCGCCGCCCGACACGAAAGAAAAAAAUUCGCAAGUCUUUUCUUCUUUCGUUUCGAAGCGAGGAGCCUAUCGCCCCGCAAGGGACGGAACCGAACGUUGCUUGGCCUUUCGAGCUGAGCAUCGUUCCAGAUAUUGAUGGGUUUGGAGUCAUCUUGGUCUGUUGUCUGGGUCUUGUUAGUGGUUGGUUGGUUUUCUAGUCGGUUGUCCGUUCGACUCUUUGUUCGGUUCGUUUGUUGGUCGUUUCCAAAGUUGAUGUCUGUCCACUAGUUGGGCGGUCUUCUUCUUCUUCUUUGAGGUCUGCAAAGUCUUGGUGUCGAGGUGAGUUGUCGACUGGGUGAGUUGAUGGUCGGAGGGGUUAGCCCUGAGCCGACACUUUGAUCGCUCUUUUACGGAGCGUUCCAAGUGCGUCAGACAGAGGGAAGGUCUGCUCGUGCAGUUGGAGGAGUGAUACUUGUCCGCAACGCGUUUUCGUCUGGCCUUCUUGAUGGAGGCUCGGACUGCUGCGAAGCGUCUCAAGUGAGGAAAGAGUAAGCAAAUUCAUUUUUGCAGAAAAGUCCUUGCUGCUUCGUGGUCGUUUGAGUCUUCUAUCAACAAGUCGGCCAAGUGAAUUCGCAGCGCGCCGAGUCUUUCUUCGCCUUCUGUGUGGGUUGACGCCUUCGGUCUGCUCGACUCGGAGCUUUCCUUAGUCAUGUUCGCAUGGCCUCCUUCCUUUGUCUCGCUCGGGCUGACUCGCUUCGAAACAUCGCCAAGACUUUGCUCUCCACUUUGCAGAAGUCGUCGACUCGUCCUUCUUUUGGCUGAACGACUCUGAGGAUCUUGACUAGCGAAAGAAAAGUGCAAAGUCAGAAAGACGGGCAGCUCAUGCCGACUGGAAAGCAACUUCAACUUUCUGCGUGCUUCGCUUCCCAGCGAAGCGACGAGACUUGGCAAAAAUUUACCAAAGUGCUUCACAAUUCCCAUGACAAAGUCACAAACUUUUUUGCAAAAACAAUCCGGGUGUUUACUUCGCAGUUGUCGCAAGUCUUCCAAGUCGACGGGAUGCACUUUUUACUAAGGGCGGACUGUCUUCCUAAGUUGACGACCGACGUUCCGUGAGGCAAAACAUUUUUCUCUCUUUUUUUCACAAAGGGAGAAUAUCCACUUAUGGACCCGGCCUCGGGUCAGGCGGCAUUACCCGCCGGACUUAAGCAUAUCAUUAAGCGGAGGAAAAGAAACCAACAGGAUCCCCUCAGUAGCGGCGAGCGAAGCGGGAAAAGCUCAGGUUUGAAAUCCGGGUGUGCGUCAAUGGUCGUUGUUCGCGCAGCGGCCAACCAUCGCGACACCCCGAAUUGUAGCCUCACCAGGCCAGACAUCGGGAAGUGGAUGGGCUGCAGACAGAGAUCUCCUGGAAAGGAGUACCAGAGAGGGUGACAGUCCCGUACAUCGGUCUGCAGAGGGUUAACCCAUCACUUGUUCUCUUUACUUCCUUCUUCCUGUCAAAGGGAAGGGGGGAAUGGGGAGCCGUACGGAUUUUGUUGGCCUCAGAGUCGGGUUGCUUGGGAAUGCAGCCCAAAGCGGGUGGUAAGUCUCACCCAAAGCUAAAUACAUGGCGAGAGACCGAUAGCGAACAAGUACCGCGAGGGAAAGAUGAAAAGGACCCUGAGAAGAGAGUCAAAAGCGCCUGAAACCGUAGGGAGGGAAGCGAUGGAUGCCGGCGAUCCGUUGCUGGGCGCCGUCCGUGGCGCGCGUGUGGGGGCUCGGCGGGCUGUUGCGAACCGAUAUCACAAGAUGGAGUGCUCCUGUCUGUUGCCAUGCGUUGGGCGUCGCAAGGCGUUUGGCGUGUGGUCGGGGGGCGCCCCAGUUCGUCAGUUGGUGUCCUGCGUGCGCGCUGCGGGUGCGGCCUCGGCUUUGACGGGCCAGCACCAGUUCGUUUGGCGGCGGCAGGCUAUGGAGCAUUCUUUUAACGGGCCCGCGGGUGGGUAUCCAUCCCCACUUGCGAAGCCGGCUUUGUAGUUGGGCCGUCGAACGGAUUGUGGGAUUGUUGCGAGCGUGCGCCCUCCUUUGGGCGGAGGGCUGGGGCGUCGGCGCGAGCCCAUGGGCGAGGACCGGCAACCGGUGCUAGCUUAUGUUGGAGCGUGCCUAGCGUCUCGGCCGUCUUCCGGCACGCUGCGAGUUGCUGGCAGGGACGGCAUUCACCGACCCGUCUUGAAACACGGACCAAGGAGUCUAACGCGUGUGCGAGCGCAAGGGUGGCAAACCCAAUUGUAUCUGCGCGGAGCGAAAGCAAGGCACGAUGGUCACGCGUCGUGCGUGGCAGGAAGGGGUUUGGGGCUUCGGCCUGGGCUUCGGCACUGCCGACCGAUCCGGAUUCUUGAUUGAAGGACUCGAGUAGAAGUGCACUCGUUGGGACCCGAAAGAUUGUGAACUAUGGGCGACCAGGAUGAAGCCAGAGGAAACUCUGGUGGAGGUCCGAAGCGAUACUGACGUGCAAAUCGUUCGUCUGAGUUGUCUAUAGGGGCGAAAGACUAAUCGAACAAUCUAGUAGCUGGUUCCCUC
rnacentral:misc_RNA from 1 species